rnacentral:rRNA from 1 species
UACGUAGGGUGCGAGCGUUAAUCGGAAUCACUGGGCGUAAAGGGUGCGUAGGCGGGUCUUUUAAGUCAGGGGUGAAAUCCUGGAGCUCAACUCCAGAACUGCCUUUGAUACUGAAGAUCUUGAGUUCGGGAGAGGUGAGUGGAACUGCGAGUGUAGAGGUGAAAUUCGUAGAUAUUCGCAAGAACACCAGUGGCGAAGGCGGCUCACUGGCCCGAUACUGACGCUGAGGCACGAAAGCGUGGGGAGCAAACAGGG